UACGUAGGGGGCAAGCGUUGUCCGGAUUUACUGGGCGUAAAGAGCGUGUAGGCGGCCAGGUAGGUCGGUUGUGAAAACUCGAGGCUCAACCUCGAGAUGUCGACCGAAACCAUCUGGCUAGAGUCCGGAAGAGGAGAAUGGAAUUCCCGGUGUAGCGGUGAAAUGCGCAGAUAUCGGGAAGAACACCCGUGGCGAAGGCGGUUCUCUGGGACGGUACUGACGCUGAGACGCGAAAGCGUGGGGAGCGAACAGG
rnacentral:rRNA from 1 species